CUGGCUGAGAUUUACUACGGCAAAAAGAUGCGAUGCAGAAUUAGCAACAGGAAAAUGCAUUUGGGGUGAGGGCCAGAGGAAACCAGGGUCAUCCUCUGUUGCCCCAACUGGUUUCAAACUCCUGGGCUCAAGUGAUCCUCCUGCCUCUGCCUCCCAGAGUGUUGAGAUUACAGGCAUGAGCCACGGUGCCCAGUCUCACCCACUGGUUUCUUCUGACAGAACCAAGGACACACACCUGGUUAAUGAUGCCCUCAAGGCUGUGAGGAGAAAGACAACCGGGUGAAGCAACGCUGGGAAUUCAACGCAUCAGUUACCUUCCCAGGUAAGAGGAGCUACCUGAGCUCCUAAGAGUUGAUCUUCAGCUGCUGUCAUGGAAAAUACUGGGGGUCAACUAGACAUCAAAGAUGAAAGGCCAGGCCUCCAGCACAACUUUCUCUGUAAGCCAAAUAGUGGCUUUCUCAAAGAAAUCUUUUUUUCAAAAAAAUGUUUUGUAAAGACAGGGUCUUGUUCUGUCACCCAGGCUGGACUGCAGUGCAUGGUUCACUGCAGCCUCCACCUCCCGGACUCGGGUGAUCCUCCCCUUUUCUGAGGAGCUCAGACCACAAGCGUGUACCACUAUGCUCAGCUGAUUUAUAAACCUUUUUUUUUUAGAGACAACGUUUCACCAUGUUGGCCAGGCUGUUUUCUUUUCUUCUUUUUUUUUUUUGAAGCAGAGUUUCACUCUUGUUGCCCAGGCUGGAGUGCAGUGGCGUGAUCUUGGCUCGCUGCAACCUCUGCCUCCCAGGUUCAAGGGAUUCUCCUGCCUCAGCCUCCCAAGCAGCUGGGAUUACAGCAUAGCUGGGAUUACAGGCAUGCACCACCAUGCCCGGCUAAUUUUGUAUUUUUAGUAGAGAUGGGAUUUCUCCAUGUUGAUCAGGCUGGUCUUGAACUCCUGACCUCAGGUGAUCCGCCUGCCUCAGCCUCCCAAGCAGCUGGGAUUACAGCGUAGCUGGGAUGACAGGCGG